rnacentral:rRNA from 1 species
AAUCAACGCUGGCGGCGUGCCUAACACAUGCAAGUCGCACGAGAAAGGGGAGCAAUCCCUGAGUAAAGUGGCGCACGGGUGAGUAACACGUGACUAACCUACCCUCGAGUGGGGAAUAACCUAGAGAAAUCUGGGCUAAUACCGCAUAACACUUACGAGUCAAAGCAGCAAUGCGCUUGAGGAGGGGGUCGCGGCAGAUUAGCUAGUUGGCGGGGUAAUGGCCCACCAAGGCAAUGAUCUGUAUCCGGCCUGAGAGGGCGCACGGACACACUGGAACUGAAACACGGUCCAGACUCCUACGGGAGGCAGCAGUGGGGAAUUUUGCGCAAUGGGGGAAACCCUGACGCAGCAACGCCGCGUGGAGGAUGAAAUCCCUUGGGAUGUAAACUCCUUUCGAUAGGGAAGAUAAUGACGGUACCUAUAGAAGAAGCCCCGGCUAACUUCGUGCCAGCAGCCGCAGU